rnacentral:snRNA from 1 species
GGUGGGGGCAACUGCCACCAA